rnacentral:rRNA from 1 species
UACGUAGGGUGCGAGCGUUAAUCGGAAUUACUGGGCGUAAAGCGUGCGCAGGCGGUUUUGUAAGUCACUUGUGAAAUCUCCGGGCUUAACUCGGAACGGUCAAGUGAUACUGUCGGACUAGAGUGCAGAAGGGGCAACUGGAAUUCUCGGUGUAGCGGUGAAAUGCGUAGAUAUCGAGAGGAACACCUGCGGCGAAGGCGGGUUGCUGGGCUGACACUGACGCUGAGGCGCGAAAGCCAGGGGAGCGAACGGG